UGGUCCAAGCAGUGUCCAUCACACAUGUUAUGCUCACACAGUAGUGGUGCCCCUCACAUGUUAUGUAUAUCAGCACUGUGAUGGCAGAAUAAUGAGGCUGCUGUUAUACAUGUGAUAGCUGCAGCACAGUAAAGAAGACCACACACACUAAUGCUAUAUAUACUAUAGACUCUGUACAUGGGGCACACUACAAAGCUACUGUAGAUAACACAGAUCACUCCAGGCAAUCAACUCGGUUAUAUACCCAUGGACAUGGAAGCUAGGACCCCGUGGCCGCUACCAUGCACCAUGCAUGCGCCUCACUCCCCCUCUGCCAGCUGUUUCAUGGGAACAUACCUUCCGCACCAGCCCCUGUGCUGUCACCACUGCUUCCGCCAGGUAAAAGACACAUCAUCACGGCUGGGCAGGCGGCUUUUACCAAGAAGUUUGGGUGGGGGGGUGUACCGAAUGUGGCCGCCUCGGGAACUGGCUCCCCCGUCACAGGCCCGCUAACUGGGCGUCCCUAGCAACCGGACAGGACACCUGUUGGUAAUGGUGCAGCCCGUUCUUCUCCCCGGCAGCGGUAUGGGGGCAGAGCAUGGCAGGGGCUGGAGGUACUGAGAAGAGAAAAGCCCAUGAAAGAAGAAUUGUUGAUCAUUACCUCCAUGAAAGAAGAAUUUCCGAUCAUUACUGUCCUUAAUACCCCCCUUGAUUAACAUUUUCGGCAUUAAAGAAUUAAAUUAAA